rnacentral:rRNA from 1 species
AUUGAACGCUGGCGGCAGGCCUAACACAUGCAAGUCGAACGGUAACAGGAAGAAGCUUGCUUCUUUGCUGACGAGUGGCGGACGGGUGAGUAAUGUCUGGGAAACUGCCUGAUGGAGGGGGAUAACUACUGGAAACGGUAGCUAAUACCGCAUAACGUCGCAAGCCCAAAGAGGGGGACCUUCGGGCCUCUUGCCAUCGGAUGUGCCCAGAUGGGAUUCGCUAGUAGGUGGGGUCACGGCUCACCUAGGCGACUAUCCCUAGCUGGUCUGAGAGGAUGACCAGCCACACUGGAACUGAGACACGGUCCAGACUCCUACGGGAGGCAGCAGGGGGGAAUAUUGCACAAUGGGCGCAAGCCUGAUGCAGACAUGCCGCGUGUAUGAAGAAGGCCUUCGGGUUGUAAAGUACUUUCAGCGGGGAGGAAGGGAGUAAAGUUAAUACCUUGGCUCAUUGACGUUACCCGAAGAAGAAGCACCGGCUAACUCCGUG